GCAGUCGAACGCGUUGGCCCAAUUGAUUGAUGGUGCUUGCACCUGAUUGAUUUUGGUCGCCAACGAGUGGCGGACGGGUGAGUAACACGUAGGUAACCUGCCCAGAAGCGGGGGACAACAUUUGGAAACAGAUGCUAAUACCGCAUAACAGCGUUGUUCGCAUGAACAACGCUUAAAAGAUGGCUUCUCGCUAUCACUUCUGGAUGGACCUGCGGUGCAUUAGCUUGUUGGUGGGGUAACGGCCUACCAAGGCGAUGAUGCAUAGCCGAGUUGAGAGACUGAUCGGCCACAAUGGGACUGAGACACGGCCCAUACUCCUACGGGAGGCAGCAGUAGGGAAUCUUCCACAAUGGGCGCAAGCCUGAUGGAGCAACACCGCGUGAGUGAAGAAGGGUUUCGGCUCGUAAAGCUCUGUUGUUAAAGAAGAACACGUAUGAGAGUAACUGUUCAUACGUUGACGGUAUUUAACCAGAAAGUCACGGCUAACUACGUGCCAGCAGCCGCGGUAAUACGUAGGUGGCAAGCGUUAUCCGGAUUUAUUGGGCGUAAAGAGAGUGCAGGCGGUUUUCUAAGUCUGAUGUGAAAGCCUUCGGCUUAACCGGAGAAGUGCAUCGGAAACUGGAUAACUUGAGUGCAGAAGAGGGUAGUGGAACUCCAUGUGUAGCGGUGGAAUGCGUAGAUAUAUGGAAGAACACCAGUGGCGAAGGCGGCUACCUGGUCUGCAACUGACGCUGAGACUCGAAAGCAUGGGUAGCGAACAGGAUUAGAUACCCUGGUAGUCCAUGCCGUAAACGAUGAGUGCUAGGUGUUGGAGGGUUUCCGCCCUUCAGUGCCGGAGCUAACGCAUUAAGCACUCCGCCUGGGGAGUACGACCGCAAGGUUGAAACUCAAAGGAAUUGACGGGGGCCCGCACAAGCGGUGGAGCAUGUGGUUUAAUUCGAAGCUACGCGAAGAACCUUACCAGGUCUUGACAUCUUGCGCCAACCCUAGAGAUAGGGCGUUUCCUUCGGGAACGCAAUGACAGGUGGUGCAUGGUCGUCGUCAGCUCGUGUCGUGAGAUGUUGGGUUAAGUCCCGCAACGAGCGCAACCCUUGUUACUAGUUGCCAGCAUUAAGUUGGGCACUCUAGUGAGACUGCCGGUGACAAACCGGAGGAAGGUGGGGACGACGUCAGAUCAUCAUGCCCCUUAUGACCUGGGCUACACACGUGCUACAAUGGACGGUACAACGAGUCGCGAACUCGCGAGGGCAAGCAAAUCUCUUAAAACCGUUCUCAGUUCGGACUGCAGGCUGCAACUCGCCUGCACGAAGUCGGAAUCGCUAGUAAUCGCGGAUCAGCAUGCCGCGGUGAAUACGUUCCCGGGCCUUGUACACACCGCCCGUCACACCAUGAGAGUUUGUAACACCCAAAGUCGGUGGGGUAA
rnacentral:rRNA from 1 species